AACGAACGCUGGCGGCAGGCUUAACACAUGCAAGUCGAACGCAUCCUUCGGGGUGAGUGGCAGACGGGUGAGUAACGCGUGGGAACGUGCCCUUCAGUUCGGGAUAACCUAGGGAACCUUGGGCUAAUACCGGAUACGUGCGAGAGCAGAAAGAUUUAUCGCUGAAGGAUCGGCCCGCGUCUGAUUAGCUAGUUGGUGGGGUAAUGGCCCACCAAGGCGACGAUCAGUAGCUGGUCUGAGAGGAUGAUCAGCCACAUUGGGACUGAGACACGGCCCAAACUCCUACGGGAGGCAGCAGUGGGGAAUAUUGGACAAUGGGCGCAAGCCUGAUCCAGCCAUGCCGCGUGAGUGAUGAAGGCCUUAGGGUUGUAAAGCUCUUUCGUCCGGGACGAUAAUGACGGUACCGGAAGAAGAAGCCCCGGCUAACUUCGUGCCAGCCGCCGCGGUAA
rnacentral:rRNA from 1 species